rnacentral:rRNA from 1 species
GACGAACGCUGGCGGCGUGCUUAACACAUGCAAGUUGAACGAGCAUUUUUCGAGUGCUUUCUUCAGACUGAUCACGAAAAAGGACAGUAGCGAACGGGUGAGUAACACGUGAUAAACCUGCCUUUCACAAAGGGAUAGCCUCGGGAAACCGGGAUUAAUACCUUUUGAUACUAAACACUCGCUUGAUAGAUUGGUUAAAUAUUUAUCGGUGUUAGAUGGUCUCGCGUCUGAUUAGCUAGGUGGUGGGAUACAAGCCUACCAAGGCAGGGUUCAGUAGCCGGAUUGAGAGGUUGAACGGCCACACUGGAACUGAGACACGGUCCAGACUCCUACGAGAGGCAGCAGUGGGGAAUUUUGCACAAUGGAGGAAUCUCUGAUGCAGCGACGCCGCGUGAGUGAGGAAGGUGUGCGGAUUGUAAAACUCUGUCCAAAGUGAAGAUAAUGACAGUAACUAAGAAGCAAGCCCUGGCUAAAUACGUG